UACGUAGGUGGCAAGCGUUGUCCGGAUUUACUGGGCGUAAAGCGCGUGUAGGCGGUUGCCCAAGUCGGGGGUGAAAGCCUUGAGCUCAACUCAAGAAAUGCACUCGGUACUGGGUGACUAGAGGACCGGAGAGGAUAGUGGAAUUCCCAGUGUAGUGGUGAAAUACGUAGAGAUUGGGAAGAACACCAGUGGCGAAGGCGGCUAUCUGGACGGUUUCUGACGCUAAGACGCGAAAGCGUGGGGAGCAAACAGG
rnacentral:rRNA from 1 species